UCUUUUCGUAUGUUCAAGCACAUGGCCAGUGUGCUUUAUAUUUAUUUAUAUAAUAGCCCUAAGACUAUUCAUAACACUGAGGCAUGGGGCAGUAAUACUCCGCGUUACAUCCUUAAGUCUUCUGCAGUUUUCAUGCAUGGGAGUAGGGGAGUUUUCCCAGCCUUUGCCCUUAACCCCUGAAGGAGCUGGACAAGGAGAGCCCCAUCCCUUCUAACAGCCCCUGCAGCUCAUCUGAGCUUUGGCAAUUCUCCUCCUGAGCAGCACAAUCCAUUUCUGGGAUGGUGAAGAGCAGGGUCAGAGCGCUGUUCCUUGAGACGGGGUGCCUUUCCCAACAUGCUGCUACUUGUCUGCAUCACACACUGAGCAACAUAUUUAGCUAGGCCAGAUCUGACAACAAACAGAAAACCAUGAUGUGCUGGUGCAUCUCGAAUGCUGAUCUCCAGCAACAAAACAAGUAUCCUUUAUAAGCAGGUAGCUCUAACCAGACAUGAACACACAAUGCUGCUUGUGGUCUGUAUCUUGUGUUUAGGCAAUAUGAGAGAUAGUUUAAAGAAAGCCAACCAACCGAUCCUGCAAUCAGUGGAUGCUUUUAGCACCCAAUACAUGCGUGGUAUUUUUGAGCAGGCUGCUUGCUGAUGAGUCGCUGUAUUACAAGAAACGACCCAAGCUCCGGUGACAGCAGGAGGGGUGGAAGGAUGUUUCAUGUUUUGCUGUCUUAAGUCUGGACUCUGACUAACCCCAGUGUGGGUCCUUAUAUCCAGUGUUGAGCUGGCCUCAGUCUCAGCUGGGUACAUUGCAGAUCUUCUUUCCAGUCCCAUGGGAUGGGGAAGGGAAGAGUGCAGACUGAGUGCAACUGAGAUUAGAAUUUGGCCCUUAAAUGGCUUUGUUAAACUGUGGGAAAGUGAUAGUGUUGCCAACCAGCCAAGCAGAGAAUGUACUGAAAGGUCACCACACUAAACACCUCCUCCAUUUCAAAGCAGAGGAAGGCCUUUGUGUUAGAAAUCCCAUUCUCCUAACCAAAAUAGAAAAUGGCAACCUCCCCUUUUUUGGUUCUUUUCAGGUGUUUACACAUCACAUGUUAUAAAAAUAUGUAGGAAAUUUUGCUCUGCUAUCUAUAGACUUAUUUGCAUUAAUCCAAUAUGGGCAUAUUGAAGUUCAGGACUGACCCCAGCAUUUCUGUAGUUCUGGAUUUUCCAUCUGAUGUGGUUUUGAAAAACAGUAGUAAAUUGUUGCCUAACUCUUCUGUUUCUAACCACAGCUCAUGGAUAUUCUCCAGGCAGAAUGGCAAAAGUUAUUCUGAAUUUCCUCCUCCUGCUUUUUAUUAAAGAUUGGUUGAUCCUUCUUGGUUUACCUUGCAUUUUAGCUAUGGUGUUGGGAUAAGUCCAUUCUAUAUACAUCUAAUCAAGUCCUUUCACCAAUCUUACCCAUGGCAUGUUCCAGCAUAGAUUAACGAUGGCCACUUCAGGCACAACCCACAUGUGGCAGUUGUGGGUAGAGAACAAGAUGUUAAACAUCUCCUACAGAGAGAAUCAGAGGGCUGGCUGCAGUCUCAUUAAGUGUCUUGUACUCUCCCAUUCUGAAUUUGUCCAUUUAAAUUCCCCUGAAGAGGGAGUAUCAGCUUUCCACAAGAGAAGAAACAUUGACUACUUACUGAGCAACAGCUGAAAGCUAUCAUUUUUAAUCUUACCAUUUCUUUUGACGUUGGAUGCUUACACUGGAAGACACAUUUUUCACUACAAACUAUUUCUAUUUUCUUUGUAGAGCAAAUGAAAUGAUUAAAGCGGGAGCUAUUCCCGGUUUACAAUCACUUCUUCAAGAUGGUAAUAAUCAUUGACCUCAGGUUAGUCUCUCUAUAAAUUAUAUUUGAAAUUCUGUAAGUUGCAAACAAGCACAGCCUGACUGUCCCUAAGCAUAUUUCCUAAGAGAGAAAGUUAUGUCAGGUUUGAGCAAGACAUGGAGCACUACUUACUUUCAUUCUUAAAUGCUGGUGCACUAAACUGAAAUCAAAUGCUUGUGUCUCAUAUGUGAGAAGUAUGAUGUUUUGCUAGUCAUUAACAAGAAAAGCAUUCUGGUUAAUCUGAGGCUUUUCUAAAGCCUAUUUUUGGCAAUCGUACUAUGAAAGGGAACAGCUGAAAUAAUAAUAAAACUUUAUACUUACAGAGAACUUUCAUCUGGGAAUAUCAAAGUAAUUUAUAAGCUUGGUUAAGCCUAUCUUGGUAUUUUUCUAGGAUGCUGCUUUCCUGUGGCAAUUGGAUUAUGCCCCAGGAUUAUGAUGAUCAAGACUAAGCUAUGCUCUCAGGGUUUCAUUCAGUGCUGGGAUGUUUCUUCUGAUGUGUAACUAU